rnacentral:rRNA from 1 species
CGGCCUAUCAGCUAGUGGUGGGUAAUGGCCUACCAGCGACGACGGGUAGCCGGCCUGAGAGGGCGACCGGCCACACUGGGACUGAGACACGGCCCAGACUCCUACGGGAGGCAGCAGUGGGGAAUAUUGCGCAAUGGGCGAAAGCCUGACGCAGCGACGCCGCGUGAGGGACGAAGGUCUUCGGAUUGUAAACCCUCUUUCAGCAGGGACGAAGCGAAAGUGACUGUACCUGCAGAAGAAGCACCGGCUAACUACGUGCCAGCAGCCGCGGUAAUACGUAGGGUGCAAGCGUUGUCCGGAUUUUAUUGGGCGUAAAGAGCUCGUAGGCGGUUUGUCGCGUCGGAUGUGAAAACCCCAAUGGCUUAACCUUGGGCCUGCAUUCGAUACGGGCAAACUAGAGUGUGGUAGGGGAGACUGGAACUCCUGGUGUAGCGGUGGAAUGCGCAGAUAUCAGGAAGAACACCGAUGGCGAAGGC